UGACUAUUGGGGAAGUCUCUGUCAUGUGAUGCAUUUUGGAAUGCAAAUGAAUUGUAGAAUUUUUCUAUGCUGGUGUGUAGGAAGAAGGACUGGGAAUGGUGUAGUGUGUUAUCUUAUUUCUCAGGCAAGAGGUGAGGUUAGAGUCCAAAGGAUUUGAUUGAAGGAUGUUCAGGAGUAUUGAUUGGAUUCUAACUGACUCUGUGGCUCCUUUCCAUGACGAUACCAGUUUCCGGAUGUUCGGGAUUACAUACAGAAGAAGACCUUCGUUCUUGACCCAGCCCUACAAGUCAGAUAUCGAACAAAGAGCGCUCUGAUGUGGGGAUGCUCUGUCAGAUAGCACCAUAUCUCAUCUGCAGAGCAGGAAUGCCCUGGGGGAUAUGGAGAGACUCCCAUGAGAUCUGGAAUCAGGAAUUGGGGAAGAAAUCUCAUCGGAAACAUGGGAAGAUAUAUGGGCGAAUAUAAAGAAACUUUCAAUAUGCGAUAAGGCACAAGCAAUGCAAUUGAAAAUCCUCCACAGGCACCAUAUGGUGCCAGAGAGGUUAGCAAAGGUUUUAAGAAAGGAUCUUCCCCGAAAUGUAAAAAUGGUCAUUGCUUUUUGUCCUGUUACAAGAUCCUUGGAUACUGGGGGGCCAUAGUGAAUGAGCUGGAGAGGAUCCUGGGAAUGGAAGUUGGGGAGGAUCUGGUGUCCCUCCAUUUUGGAGCUACCAAGUCUUCCCUCUUUGGGUGAGCAUGGGAAGAGGUUAUUCAACAUUCUUACACACUGAUAUCGGAAAACCCUCCAGGUCUUACGGAAUUGGCACAGACUUGUGAUGGAGCACAUCCCUCAGGACUACCUGACAAGUAUGGUGUGCCACGGAAUGGAGCGAUUUGAAAAGACAUGGCGGCCCUUUCUAAAUUACAUAAACUUGGAUCUGUUGGCUGUAUUGAUUAGGGCCUUUAUAUUAUCCACAAGGGCCAUAUACAGUGGUCCGAGGAGUGAAGCUUAGUAAAUAUGGGUAUAAUAACUGUUGCUCCUGUGGAUGGGAACCUUGAUGGAGGUGCAGCGAGUGAGUAAUGCAAUAUAGUGAAUUUGAUUUUAGUGGAUUAUAAUUUCAUUUAAUGUUUUUAUUUAAUUUCUGCUAAUUUGGUUUAACUUAAGUAAAUAUGAGAUGACUGUAUCUUGAAGAAUAGGCAGUUUAUUGUCAAUGUUACUGUAAUAUAUUCUACUUUUUUUACUUUUAUAAUGUUUAGUUUGUUUCUUUCUUUGGAAAAGUGAAAUUUUUCCAAUAAAUAUAUACAUUCAAAAAAAUCAGCCCUUCACCUGAAAUGGAGCACUGCAAGAAUUAAGUUGCCAUGAUUCUGAACAUGUAGAAAGCCUUUUACAGCCUUGCUGAGGUUGUUACUGUAACCCACCCAUCCUGAACACACUGACUCUGACUCUGACCUCCAGCCUUCCAUUGCCUCAUUAGAGUCAUUGUCAUAGAAACAGACCCUUUAGUCCAACUUGUCCAUGCCGACCAGAUAUUCCAAUCUAGUCCUACCUGGCAGCACCUGACCCAUGUCCCUCUGUGGUAACUGGCUCCAGUCCUGGAUUAGCAAUACACUCUAUACUUUUUCCUUGAUCUGUAAACUCUUUUGAAUGCCCACUUCUUACCCAGGGAUGGCUUAUAUUUCAAAAAUUGCUGAAAUUCCACAAAAUUGUCAGUGUCCUAUUUAUCUCAAUUCACAAAAUAUUCCAGAUUGUCUCUACUUAUGUACCAUAGAAGGGACAUUGCUGAUCAAUAUGCAAUUGGCUAAAAAAGUAACUAUGUUUGAUGUCAUAACCAAUCUUAAUUGUACAUUAAACUACAACUAGUUCAAGGAUUGGGAGAAGGUAAAGGAGUCAGGAACAGUCAUGGUGUGAGGACCUGUUAACCCCUCAUCUCUAUUGUUACCCAGAACCUAGAAUCCCCUAGUAACAGCAGGAGGUCUGUUUGCCCAUAUUUGAACUGAUGUCAUGAGACUUCAUGGGAUCCAAAAUCAAUGUUAAUUUGUUGUUGAUCAAUGAACUCUCAUUUCUAGCUCCCUAGGCUCAAGAUCUGUCCCAAUACAUACUUGGGUGAUAACAUAAUUGUGAAUAAGCACUCUUUGUCCCUAUAAACAUCUUAAUUUUACCUCUAGGCUGUUGAAGCUGUCUUAAAUUUUGCAAGCCA